rnacentral:rRNA from 1 species
CGGUUGAUCCUGCCGGACCCCACUGCUAUCGGGAUAGGAUUAAGACAUGCUAGUCAAGCGCCUCCCAACCAUGGUUGGAGGCGCGGCGUACAGCUCAGUAACACGUGGCUAACCUGCCCUUGGGACGGGGAUACCCCCGGGAAACUGGGGCUAAUCCCCGAUAGGUGAAGAACUCUGGAAUGAGUCUUCACCCAAAAGGCGCCUUAAACAUGCUUUUAGGCGCCGCCCAAGGAUGGGGCCGCGUCCGAUCAGGUAGUUGGUGAGGCAACGGCUCACCAAGCCUUUAACCGGUGCGGGCCGUGAGAGCGGGAGCCCGGAGAUGGGCACUGAGACAAGGGCCCAGGCCCUACGGGGCGCAGCAGUCGCGAAAACUUUGCAAUACACGAAAGUGUGACAGGGCUAUCCCGAGUGCCAUCCGCUGAGGAUGGCUUUUACCCAGUUUAGAAAGCUGGGAGAAUAAGGAGAGGGCAAGCCUGGUGUCAGCCGCCGCGGUAAUACCAGCUCUCCGAGUGGUGUGGAUGUUUAUUGGGCCUAAAGCAUCCGUAGCUGGCUGAGUUAGUCCCCUGUUAAAUCCAGCGAAUUAAUCGUUGGAGUGCGGGGGAUACUGCUCGGCUAGGGGGCGGGAGAGGCCGACGGUAUUUUCGGGGUAGGGGUGAAAUCCUAUAAUCCCGGGAAGACCACCAGUGGCGAAGGCUGUCGGCUAGAACGCGCCCGACGGUGAGGGAUGAAAGCUGGGGGAGCGAACCGGAUUAGAUACCCGGGUAGUCCCAGCUGUAAACGAUGCAGGCUAGGUGUUAGGGCGGCCACGGGCCGCUCUAGUGCCGCAGGGAAGCCGUUAAGCCUGCCGCCUGGGGAGUACGGCCGCAAGGCUGAAACUUAAAGGAAUUGGCGGGGGAGCAC